ensembl:lncRNA
CACACACACACACACAUAACAAACUGCACACAUCGUGUUUUAAUAAACCGAAAAUCCACAAUCCGCUAUGUUUUCAAUGUCAUUUGUCGUUCAUUUUCAACAAGAGCUGUCGAGUUCCGGUGGAAGGAGACGAAGCAACCAUUAACGAACCAGCAACCAAUAGGAUUGAGGGACGAUCGUACCUUAAAAAAAAAAAAGUCUAUUUUAUAGUCUAUAAAUUUUUUAUCACUCAGAUUGUUGUUUACAGUAUACGGUACGUUCUGUAGCUACUGUAGCUUGUAUGGAUAUCGCAUUAGCACGGUGCUAGCAAUGAAACCAUGGCAACAGAAAGUAGACGAGAGAUAGGCCACGCCCACUAGCGACCACACUGGAGCCAUUAAGCAACUCGAUGCUGGUCUGAGUCUGUAAGUGAGCAAGUGUGUGUGUGUGUGUGUGUGUGUACACAAUAAAACCAUCAUAUAAAGCAAGCUGCAUUAAAGAGACCACAACUGAAACGAACAUAGUUCUGAUAAAGCGCACACAGUAAAGCUGUAUUCAAUUAUACUACAUUAUUAAAUAUGACAUAUAUACAGUAUAGAGAGCGAAAUUCCUCCCAUUUCAGCUCUCUCUCUCUCACACACACACACACAUUCACAUCCACCACCUUCGCUACUCCUGAUUACAGUGACCUGAGCAGGAAGAAAGAAAGAAAUACAGUAAAAAACACACUACCUUCGUAUAUUUCUUUCGUCUAUUCAAGCUGUUUUCCGGUAAAAAACCAGACAAGCCGGAGCGCGCCGGCCGGGCCUCGUCUAACGCUAUUUGGAAACCAUCUGCUUUGGCAAACGUUGUAUAGAAUGGUACGAUUCCGAGGCUCUUGUUCGAUACGGACAGAUCUGUCAGAAACGGAUAAACGAGAGCGUCUUACCACCUGGAUGGAUCCUCCUGCCUCUGUUCAUCAGGACACGCCGAACUUCUUGGAUAGUUUUGGUGUUAGAGCUCGGUUCAUGAACGGCGUACACGGCAUGCACUCGUGCAGUUUCAGUUAGCAGAAGUGUGAUGCGUAUGCAGCUGUGGUCAGUAAGGUCUCAGACACCCACACUCGUCCUCCUCCCUGCUCCGGCUCUGCUUCCUGUGUGAAACUGGCCUCCUCUUCACCUUCGCUGUGUUAUCAGGUCAAGAAAUAAAUAAAAAAUAGGACAUGUGUUUUUACGUGUGUGCGUGUGUGUGUUGGUAGCAGACUAACUUGGCGCUAACUUGCCAUCUGAGCAACUUGGGGUUCAGUGUCUUUCCCAAGGACACUUCGGCACGUGGAGUCACGUGGGCCGGGAAUCGAAGCGCCGACCCUACGACUACUCCGUCCCCGUCUGUGAGACAUGGAGCUCGUUUAGCGUGGAACUUCUCAUCUGUUUCUCUUUCGCUUUGAAGCCGCUUUAACCACAACGCUUUUGCGGAAGCUCUCGUUCGCUCACACGGUGCCGCCAGCUUUCCCGUACGCUUCCCCGG